CAAGCACUACGUCUACUAAAAAAAUCCUUUCAGUGGUCAUAUCCUGUGAAAGCAGACUAACAGUAAGACUCUCUGAAAAAUUACAUUGUUCAUCCCAGAUAUGGCAGCUGGACAUAUGUUUUUGGUCUUCCUCAUUUUCUAUACCUUCCAAUAUGUCAAAGCCCAAGAUCGUCCUAAGCCCAGUCUGACUCUGAAUCAUGCAGUCAUCAGAGAGAGAGACUCAGUUCAGCUGAUCUGUGAGACUCCAUCUGUAUCUGAGUCUCAGUGUCACUUCAUCAUAGAGGGGAAACAGAUCUCACAUCCUUCACCAUGUCAGAGCACACUAACAGGAUAUCAGCUGCUUCACUGGGCAGGUCAAAGUUCACCUGUUGAGGUCAAAAUUCUAUGUUUCUACAUGGUAGAGACAAACUAUUCAUCAACACACAGUGACCCUGUCUCAUUGAGGAUUCUGGAUCAACGAAACCUCCCUCAGCCCAAUCUGAUAGUGAUUCCCACAGUUAUCAGAGAGGGAGACUCAGUUCAGCUGAGCUGUGUGACUCCUCAAUCUCUCUCUGAAUGUCAGUGUGGUUUCUAUGAAGACACGAAACUUCAUCUACCAGAACGAUCCUGUGAACAGACGGUCACAGGAACUCAGCUGCUUUCUUGGGCAGGCCAAAAAUCGUCAGCUGUGCUCCAGGUGCAGUGUUUCUACGUUGUAGAAAGAUAUUACCCAUCUCCUUCCAGUAAACCAGUCAUUGUCACAGUCCAGGGUUCAACCACUUCUUUGACCCCGACAGCAAUGACAUCAGGUUUGACCACUCCUUUGACUCCCAGCAAGGCAGUGAAUCCUACAUCAGGUUCAACCUCUUAUUUGACCCCCACAGCAACUACAUCAGGUUGGACUGUUAGUGCUACUUUGGCAAGUGACACCCCAAAGAGAACAAGUGAAGGUUUGACUGUUAGUUCUACUUUGACCACUGGUACCCCACAGAGUUCAACUGAAAGAGAUCAAAGUUCCCCAAAAAAUGAUGUGGAAGCCAACCAAGAGAGCAGUUUGGUGAUAUUAUGGCUUGCUGCAGUGGGUGUGGCUUCUGGAGUGGGUGUAUUCCUGGUGGGAUUGACAGUUGUUCGUCUCUGUAAGAAGACCAAAAGAAAGAAAUCUCAGAGACCUCCAGCCCAACAAGACAAUCAUGACCAACGUCCUGUUGGAGAGAAUGGAGAAUCAUCUGAAUAUGUCAAUUUUGAUACAUACCAGGAGUACUAUUCAAUCCAGCCUCAGCCCAAUGGCUUUCUGUAGAUAGUCUUCAAAGGUUUUAGUAUAGUUAAAUGUUCUAUUAUUAUUCUUUAUUCAAUCUCUUUGGAUUUGAAAUUGUCCACUUAUGUGCGAAAGUAUUAUCCAUAUUGGAUGAACAAUUUUAAAAUGACAAUGUUUUGUACAUAUUUCCUCCAUUAGGGUGCCAUAUGUAUUUCAACUGUUAUCUUCAAAACUGUUUCUUAUUAGAUUGUUUUUGAUUGCUUGUAUUAAAAGUGCAUAUCCAGCAG
rnacentral:lncRNA from 1 species